rnacentral:rRNA from 1 species
AGCGAACGCUGGCGGCAGGCUUAACACAUGCAAGUCGAGCGGGCGUAGCAAUACGUCAGCGGCAGACGGGUGAGUAACGCGUGGGAACGUACCUUUUGGUUCGGAACAACACAGGGAAACUUGUGCUAAUACCGGAUAAGCCCUUACGGGGAAAGAUUUAUCGCCGAAAGAUCGGCCCGCGUCUGAUUAGCUAGUUGGUGAGGUAACGGCUCACCAAGGCGACGAUCAGUAGCUGGCUGAGAGGAUGAUCAGCCACAUUGGGACUGAGACACGGCCCAAACUCCUACGGGAGGCAGCAGUGGGGAAUAUUGGACAAUGGGCGCAAGCCUGAUCCAGCCAUGCCGCGUGAGUGAUGAAGGCCCUAGGGUUGUAAAGCUCUUUGUGCGGGAAGAUAANGACGGUACGCAAGAAUAAGCCCCGGCUAACUUCGUGCCAGCAGCAGCCGCGGUAAC